rnacentral:tRNA from 1 species
UAGGGAGACCUACCCACGUGACCGACGAAAAGUUGGUAGUUGGCACGUUUGGGACAGAGGUCAGCUAGGGACAGUGGGGAGCUGUACUUUCAAACCUUAGGAGUCCGGGGCAGGGGCUAUUAGCUCAGGUGGUCAGAGCGCACCCCUGAUAAGGGUGAGGUCCCUGGUUCGAGUCCAGGAUGGCCCACUGGCGGGGGUAUGGCUCAGUGGUAGAGCGCCUGCUUUGCACGCAGGAUGUCAGCGGUUCGAAUCCGCUUACCUCCACCACGUUCAUCUUCAGCACGUGAUGGGUGUGAUCACACUGCUGGAGGUGAAGGCUCCAGUACCGAACCUUGACAACUGCAUAGCGUUAGAUAGUCCUCACCGAUGGAUAAGGAACCAAGGGCUGAC